CAGAGAAUAGUUUAAUGGAAAAUGCCAGCUUUGGGAGCUGGAGAUAGAGGUUUGAGUCCUCUUUCUUUGA
rnacentral:tRNA from 1 species